GUUUGCCUGUGUGUGGAUGGUGUUCAGCACCGGGGACAGGCAUGUUUGCCCGUGUGUGGAUAGUGUUCAGCACCAGGAACAGGUAUGUUUGCCU
rnacentral:pre_miRNA from 1 species